UAUGGAGAGUUUGAUCCUGGCUCAGAACUAACGCUGGCGGCGUGUCUUAGUCAUGCAAGUCGAACGAGAAAGCGUUCUUCGGAACGUGAGUACAGUGGCGGACGGGUGAGUAACACGUGGGGAACCUGCCCUCAAGCUGGGAACAACCCGCCUAACGGCGGGCUAAUACCGAAUGUGGUUGUCAGUCCGCAUGGUAUGACAACUAAAGGUGGCCUCUCCUUGGAAGCUACCGCUUGUGGAUGGCCCCGCGCUCAAUUAGCUAGUUGGUAGGGUAACGGCCUACCAAGGCGACGAUUGAUAGCCGACCUGAGAGGGUGAUCGGCCACACUGGGAUUGAGAUAAGGCCCAGUCUCCUACGGGAGCCAGCAGUCUAGAAAUUUGGGCAAUGGGCGAAAGCCUGACCCAGCGACGCCGCGUGGGGGAUGAAGCUUCUCGGAGUGUAAACCCCUGUUAGGUGGGACGAAAGCCCGUAUACGAAUAGUAGGCGGGUUUGACGGUACCACCAGAGGAAGCUCCGGCUAACUCCGUGCCAGCAGCCGCGGUAAUACGGGGGGAGCAAGCGUUGUUCGGAGUUAUUGGGCGUAAAGGGCGUACAGGCGGUGGUGUCAGUCAGAUGUGAAAUCCCCCGGCUCAACCGGGGACCUGCAUUUGAUACUGCAUCACUUGAGUACAGGAGAGGAGAGCGGAAUUUUCGGUGUAGCGGUGGAAUGUGUAGAUAUCGAAAAGAACACCAGUGGCGAAGGCGGCUCUCUGGCCUGAUACUGACGCUGACGCGCGAAAGCUAGGGGAGCAAACAGGAUUAGAUACCCUGGUAGUCCUAGCCGUAAACGUUGGGCACUAGGUGUUGGAGGUAUCGACCCCUUCAGUGCCGAAGCUAACGCAUUAAGUGCCCCGCCUGGGGAGUACGGCCGCAAGGCUGAAACUCAAAGGAAUUGACGGGGGCCCGCACAAGCGGUGG
rnacentral:rRNA from 1 species